UUAUUUAAAUCCUUAAUUUAAGGAAAAACUUCAAAAAUCCUCCUGUGGUUUCGUAGUUUUUCACUUUGCCUCUCUAUGGUUUCGUUUUUAUCUUUUCGGUAGCUUUUUCGUUAAUAUUUUAUUAAAUUAUUAACAAAAAACUUCAGAUACACAUCUAGAUUUAUUAAAUAUUCACUUUAGCACCCUUUAAUUUUAACUUUAUCACUGAUUAAAAAAAAUAAU
rnacentral:lncRNA from 1 species